CUGUUCCCCUUCAGCUUCUUUUCUUUCUUCAAUCCUCGCAUUUUUUAGGUUAUGUUUCUUGAGUAGUGUGAGAUACGGGCUGAAGUCGGCAGCCCCAGCCGACUUCAGCCCCGUCUUCCUCUUUUGGAAGGGGCAGAACAGGGGAUCGCAGACGCGAUCCCCUCCGACUUCUUCGGGCACGAGGACGCGGCGGCACCGCGAAGGGUCCGCGUCCACCCCGCGGCCGCAAGAGCGGCCGUUGAUCUCGCUCCACCGCCGUGAAAAUCGCGGCGGGGAGCCGUUGAAAUGGGGCAAUAAAACCCCCAUCUUCCUCUUCGUAAGAGCACCUCCGAGCCCUCCUCCCUCUCAUCCGUCUCCUCCGCUUCCUCUCCCUUCUUUCCUCCUCCUCUCCUUGGUGACCGGCGUGCCUUCCCGACCGAGCGCCAUCCGGAUCCCCUCGCGGCCAUCCCCUGUUCUGAGAUCCGCCCCCCUCGGUUUCGAGCGCCGCCGCCGUUGCUAGCUGCCGGACCGAGCUGAGACCUUGCUCCGCCGCCUCUGCCACCGCCGGUAAGCCCUCCUCCUUGCCUUCGUUCUAUUGCCAAAAGCAUCGAUUUUUUCUCUCUGUUUCAGCCCCAGCAACCGAGAUCAUCUCGGUUGCUUCUCCUCCCCGUUGGCCACUGCAACGGCCGUCGGCCGCCAAGGCGGCCGGCUGGCCAUCGACCGAGGGGUGGCCUCCGGCCACCCCGCCGCCCCUUCCUCUUCCGCUCUCCCUCGCGGUUUUCCCCUGCCGUGGGGGGGACGUUGGGGAAGAAGAAGGCCCAUGUGGGCCGAGCUGGGCUAAGGCCCAGUUCACUGUGGGCCCAACAUGGGCCCAGUUGGAACCUGAAAAAAAAAAAAUAAUAAUAAUAAUGAAACCCAGUCCAGACCCGAAAUCCGAAACCCAGUUCAGACCCGAGCCCGGAACUUGAACCCGAUCCCGAAACCCAAAACUCGAAACCCGAACCCAUUUGGCCACUAAAUGGAGUUUUGCAAUUAAGCCCUUGACAGUAUAUUAUUUCACAAAAGGGUAUUCUGUAAUUUAUGUUUGGUCCCUAUAAGAAAGAUUCUUACAUAAGGCUCUCCAAAUAUAUUUGAUUGGUCCCUCCACUAAAGUUUUAUUAUAGAACAGUACCCUGUAAUUAAGUAUUAGUCCCUGCAAUGAAUUGUGUUGCAUAAAUAAUCCAUUAGAGACCAACUUUGGGUGCCCUAUUGGGCCAGGUCUAUGCGGGCCCAUUGGGUCGUGUCCAAUAUGGGCCCUAUCGGGCCAUGCCUAUUAUGGGCCAACUCUGGGCCCUAUUGAGCCGUGUCCAAUAGAAUUAUUUUUAGAUUUUGUUUAGUUCUAAAAUUAACAAGGAAUUAAUUAAAUUUAAACAGGUGAACCUGAUCCGCCUAUCUGAAGUAGGGAUUAAGCGAGAAGAGGUAAGUAACUUAAUACUUCGAGUGUGAUUUCUAAAUUAUUUAAUAAACUGAUUAUGUUUUGAUAUAUGUUUUGC
rnacentral:lncRNA from 1 species